rnacentral:tRNA from 1 species
AUUUAGGUGGUCCUGUGGGUAGCACAGUCGCCUCACAACAGGAAGGUUCUGGGUUCGAAUCUCUGCUUGGAGU